rnacentral:rRNA from 1 species
UACGUAGGGGGCGAGCGUUGUCCGGAUUCAUUGGGCGUAAAGCGCGCGUAGGCGGCUCCGCAAGUCGGCCGUGAAAUCUCCGGGCUCAACUCGGAGGGGUCGGGCGAGACUGCGAGGCUCGAGGUGGGCAGAGGGCAGUGGAAUUCCGGGUGUAGUGGUGGAAUGCGUAGAGAUCCGGAGGAACACCAGUGGCGAAGGCGGCUGCCUGGGCCUGGCCUGACGCUGAGGAGCGAAAGCGUGGGGAGCAAACAGG